rnacentral:rRNA from 1 species
GCCCGGAUGACUUGUGGUUAGCGGUGAAAUGCCAAUCGAACCCGGAGAUAGCUGGUUCUCCUCGAAACAGUUUUAGGACUGGCGUCGCGUAGUAGCACGUGGGGGUAGAGCUCUGUAAAGGACUGGAGGGAGCAAUCUUAUCCACCCUUAACAAACUACGAAUACCAUGUGUGUAAGCGCGGCAGUUAGAACGGCGGAGCUAAGUUCGUCGCUCAAAAGGGAAAAAGCCCAGACCAACAGCUAAGGUCCCUAAAUUUACGUUAAGUGGGAAACAAGGUGAGAUUUCUUAAACAGCUAGGAUGUUGGCUUAGAAGCAGCCAUUCAUUUAAAGAGUGCGUAACAGCUCACUAGUCAAGAGAUCUUGCGUGGAAAAUGUAACGGGGCUAAACGUAAUACCGAAGCUUUGGAUUUGCAAUUUAUUGCAAGUGGUAGAGGAGCGUUCCUAUCUGCGGUGAAGCAGUUUUGGAAAGAAUUGUGGAGCGUUAGGAAGUGAGAAUGCUGGAAUGAGUAACCAUAAGAUAGGUGAGAAUCCUGUCGGCCGUAAGAGCAAGGUUUCCUGAGCCAUGGUAAUCAUCUCAGGGUUAGUCGGGCCUAAGCCGAGGCGCAUAGCGUAGGCGAUGGACAUCAGGUUAAUAUUCCUGAACCGGUUAAGUUUUGUACACUGUUCACGGAGAGAUAUUUAGAGCGGAUUCAUGGUUUUUAUCCGUCCAACCGAGGGGGAACCCAAAGGGAGUGAAAGUUACCUUUUAGGUGACGAUUCUGAAAAAGGCUCUGGCUAGAAAAGCAGAUGUACGUAUGGACUUAGCCGCCCGUACCGCAAACCAACACAGGUGCUCGAGUCGAGUAGACUCAGGCUUACGAGAGAACCCUCGCUAAGGAACUCGGCAAUACAGCGACCGUAACUUCGGAAUAAGGUCUGCCCCCCAUUUCGGUGGGUAUAUUGUCAGGUUUAAGCGAAUGAAUAGAGAACGGUUAAAUUAAAUGAGUAUACCUUUUAUAAUUUUAACGAAACUUCUUACUGAGAUAGUCAACAAGAUUAAAUUCUAAGCUUAAAACUGAGACUCAAUGUAUCUAACGAUAUGGGGGGCCGCAGCUAAAGAGCCCACGGAACUGUUUAUCAAAAACACAGCUCUCUGCUAACACGAAAGUGGAUGUAUAGGGGGUGACUCCUGCCCGGUGCUGGAAGGUUAAGGGGAGUGCUUCACGGUACGAACUGAAGCCCCAGUGAACGGCGGCGGUAACUAUAACCGUCCUAAGGUAGCGAAAUUCCUUGUCAGGUAAGUUCUGACCCGCACGAAUGGAGUAAUCAUGUGGGCACUGUCUCAGCGAGGGCCUCGGUGAAAGUGCAUUGGCGGUAAAGAUGCCGUCUGUCCAUACCAGGACGAGAAGACCCCAUGGAGCUUUACUACAGUUUUACAUUGACCCGGGUUUCAACAUGUGUAGCAUAGUUGGGAGGCUUCGAAGCAGAUACGCUAGUAUUUGUGGAGCCGCAACGUGAAAUACCAACCUUGUUGUGAUCUUGGUCUCACGUUUACCGUUAUCCGGUAAGCGGACCGUGUAUGAUGGGUAGUUUAACUGGGGCGGUUGCCUCCUAAAGAGUAGCGGAGGCGUUCAAAGG